AUGCACCAGGGUGGCGUCUUGGGGCUGGUCCGGACAGAGGAAGAUGGCCGAGUGGCAGAGGAUCCCCAGGCUGCAAGUGAAUCUCACCUGAAAGUCUUCCCUCUGGUGUCCUGUGAGAGCUCCCCGUCUGACAAGAACACUGUGGCCCUGGGCUGCCUGGCCCAGGACUUCGUGCCCAAUUCUGUCAGCUUCUCCUGGAAGUUCAAGAACAACACCAUGGUCAGCAGUGAGACCUUCCCCGAAGUCCUGAGGGACGGCUUGUGGUUGGCCUCCUCUCAGGUGGUCCUGCCCUCCCCAAGAGUCCCCCCGGGGUCAAAGGACUACCUGGAGUGCAAAGUCCAGCACCCCAAGGAUAAAAGUAUCAUCAAGACUGUGGUGGUGUCCCCCAGAGCGUCGACCCUGACCCCGACCCCGACCACGUUAGCGCCUUCUAUGACACCCAGGUCAGAGGGCUCCAACAAAGUCGUCAACACUCAGAGCAGCCCAGCUGUGGGGUGCCCAGAGUCACCCCUCACCCUGGGUAUCCUCCUGGCCCAGAGCAGCAGCUGCAGGAGGGAGCUGGGCAGUUCCCUCACUGGCCCCCAGGCCACUGGCAACCCUCCAAGAGGGGACCGUGGCUGUGAUGUCUCCCUGGGCAGCCCCCCGCCCAGCCCGUGA